UACGGGGGGGGCAAGCGUUGUUCGGAUUCACUGGGCGUAAAGGGUGCGUAGGUGGCAAGGUAAGUUUGAUGUGAAAUCUUCGAGCUCAACUCGGAAACUGCAUUGAAUACUAUCUUGCUUGAGGAUUGGAGGGGAGGCUGGAAUUCUCGGUGUAGCAGUGAAAUGCGUAGAUAUCGAGAGGAACACCAGUGGCGAAGGCGAGUCUCUAGACAACUCCUGACACUGAGGCACGAAAGCUAGGGGGAGCAAACAGG
rnacentral:rRNA from 1 species